CGAGCCUCACGAACGUUAUUCGGAAUUACUGGGCUUAAAGGGUGCGUAGGCGGCGCGGAAAGUUGGGUGUGAAAUCCCUCGGCUCAACCGAGGAACUGCGCCCAAAACUACCGUGCUCGAGGAAGAUAGAGGUGAGCGGAACUUACGGUGGAGCGGUGAAAUGCGUUGAUAUCGUAAGGAACACCCGUGGCGAAAGCGGCUCACUGGGUCUUCUCUGACGCUGAUGCACGAAAGCUAGGGGAGCAAACGGGAUUAGAUACCCCGGUAGUCCUAGCCGUAAACUCUGAGUACUGAAUUGGAGGGCCCUCCAUAGCCCUCCAGUUGAAGCGAAAGUGUUAAGUACUCCGCCUGGGGAGUAUGGUCGCAAGGCUG
rnacentral:rRNA from 1 species